rnacentral:rRNA from 1 species
UACAGGGGGGCAAGCGUUGUUCGGAAUUACUGGGCGUAAAGGGCCAGUAGGCGGCCAACUAAGUCACACGUGAAAUCCCCAGGCUUAACCUGGGAACUGCGUGUGAUACUGGAUGGCUUGAAUUCGGGAGAGGGAUGCAGAAUUCCAGGUGUAGCGGUGAAAUGCGUAGAUAUCUGGAGGAAUACCGGUGGCGAAGGCGGCAUCCUGGACCGACAUUGACGCUGAACGGCGAAAGCUAGGGGAGCAAACGGG